rnacentral:rRNA from 1 species
GAUGAACGCUGGCGGCGUGCCUAAUACAUGUAAGUCGAGCGAACAGACGAGGAGCUUGCUCCUCUGACGUUAGCGGCGGACGGGUGAGUAACACGUGGAUAACCUACCUAUAAGACUGGGAUAACUUCGGGAAACCGGAGCUAAUACCGGAUAAUAUAUUGAACCGCAUGGUUCAAUAGUGAAAGACGGUUUUGCUGUCACUUAUAGAUGGAUCCGCGCCGCAUUAGCUAGUUGGUAAGGUAACGGCUUACCAAGGCAACGAUGCGUAGCCGACCUGAGAGGGUGAUCGGCCACACUGGAACUGAGACACGGUCCAGACUCCUACGGGAGGCAGCAGUAGGGAAUCUUCCGCAAUGGGCGAAAGCCUGACGGAGCAACGCCGCGUGAGUGAUGAAGGUCUUCGGAUCGUAAAACUCUGUUAUUAGGGAAGAACAAAUGUGUAAGUAACUAUGCACGUCUUGACGGCACCUAAUCAGAAAGCCACGGCUAACUACGUG